CUCAGUUCCUGUGAAGCCCUGCCCCUUUAUCUCCAAGCCCCACCCACCUGGGUGGUCACAGAUCAGGCAAAAGUCACAAACUUUUGCACAAAUCAGCGAAGUUCAAAAAUGCCUACGAUGUUCUUAAGCUCCACUCGGAUGCCUCCAUGGAGACAUUAAGCCGAAAGAAAACCUAUAGACGCUCCAUACAGUUCCUCACCACAGGCCUUCACAAGCACGGCUCACGCACAUCCCACAGAGCUCUUUAAUGAAGGUCGGGCUGGAUGUUGUGGACAGACAAAUACUAUUAUGUCUGAAACUAUUCUAAUGACAAGAACUCUGCUCUGAUUUUAACCCCAGCAUUUAUGGCACUUUGAAAUAACAGUAAAGUGUAAUGCGAUAUCACAACUUAUCACUGAGAGUAAAUAACAGACUCAUAUAGAGGGAUAGAUGACCCUGCCCCCGAGGACCUACAACUCACAAAGGCUUCAACCACGGAACAGCCUUCAGGUUUGAUAACAUCUGCUACAGCUACAACAAAUACCCCAAAAAUGAGUGUGAAGUCUGAUGAAUGUUUAAACAGAAGAAUUUUUUUUUUAUGGAUCAGCUAAAUCUUUUCUGCUUUUUAAUUAAAAGUAAAGAAAAUGGAACUUAAUUAUCCUGUAAAGAUUAGCUUGUGGGCAUCUUUCUGUAAAUUACUUCUAAUUGAAAGCAAAUCGUCAAAUGACAUUCAAAGUACUGUCCUUUAAAACGCAGCUGUUCAAUUGCUGA